rnacentral:rRNA from 1 species
GUAGGUGGCAAGCGUUGUCCGGAAUUAUUGGGCGUAAAGCGCGCGCAGGCGGUUCUUUAAGUCUGAUGUGAAAGCCCACGGCUCAACCGUGGAGGGUCAUUGGAAACUGGAGAACUUGAGUACAGAAGAGGAAAGCGGAAUUCCACGUGUAGCGGUGAAAUGCGUAGAGGUGUGGAGGAACACCAGUGGCGAAGGCGGCUUUCUGGUCUGUAACUGACGCUGAGGCGCGAAAGCGUGGGGAGCAAACAGGAUUAGAUACCCUGGUAGUCCACGCCGUAAACGAUGAGUGCUAAGUGUUAGGGGGUUUCCGCCCCCCUUAGUGCUGCAGCUAACGCAUUAAGCACUCCGCCUGGGAGUACGGCCGCAAGGCUG